rnacentral:rRNA from 1 species
AAUCCUUUAACGAGGAUCUAUUGGAGGGCAAGUCUGGUGCCAGCAGCCGCGGUAAUUCCAGCUCCAAUAGCGUAUAUUAAAGUUGUUGUGGUUAAAAAGCUCGUAGUUGGAUCUCAGUUCGAGUCAGGCGGUCCACUUGCCAGUGGCUACUGCCUGACUGAACACUUUACCGAGUUGUCCUAUGGUGUUCUUCACCGAGCGUCAUAGGCGAUCGGUAGGUUUACUUUGAAAAAAUUAGAGUGCUCAAAGCAGGCGUAACGCCCGAAUAAUGUUGCAUGGAAUAAUGGAAUAGGACCUCGGUUCUAUUUUGUUGGUCUUCGGAAUCAGAGGUAAUGAUCAAUAGGGACAGACGGGGACAUUCGUAUUGCGGCGCUAGAGGUGAGAUUCUUGGACCGUCGCAAGACGAACUAAAGCGAAAGCAUUUGUCAAGAAUGUUUUCAUUAAUCAAGAACGAAAGUUAGAGGUUCGAAGGCGAUCAGAUACCGCCCUAGUUCUAACCAUAAACGAUGCCAACCAGUAAUUCGUCUGAGUUCCUUAAAUGACUCGACGAGGGACUUCCGGGAAACCAAAGUCUUUCGGUUCCAGGGGAAGUAUGGUUGCAAAGCUGAAACUUAAAGAAAUUGACGGAAGGGCACCACCAGGAGUGGAGCCUGCGGCUUAAUUUGACUCAACACGGGAAAACUCACCCGGCCCGGACACUGGAAGGAUUGACAGAUUGAGAGCUCUUUCUUGAUUCAGUGGGUGGUGGUGCAUGGCCGUUCUUAGUUGGUGGAGUGAUUUGUCUGGUUAAUUCCGAUAACGAACGAGACUCUAGCCUACUAAAUAGAUCGUCGGCUUACAAACGCCGGCGAGACUUCUUAGAGGGACAGGCGGUGAUUCAACCGCACGAAACAGAGCAAUAACAGGUCUGUGAUGCCCUUAGAUGUCCGGGGCCGCACGCGCGCUACACUGAAGUGAUCAGCGUGCUUUUUUCAACCUACUCUGUCAAGAGUGGGGAACCCAAUGAACCUUCUUCGUGAUUGGGAUAGGGGAUUGUAAUUAUUCCCCUUGAACGAGGAAUUCCCAGUAAGCGCGAGUCAUAAGCUCGCGUUGAUUACGUCCCUGCCCUUUGUACACACCGCCCGUCGCUACUACCGAUUGAAUGUUUUAGUGAGGUCUUCGGACUGGCCGGCGCAGCACUCUCGUAGUGCAGCGCUGUGUUUGGAAAGAUGCCCAAACUUGAUCAUUUAGAGGAAGUAAAAGU